GUUGAAAGACGGACUAAUACCCCAUAACAGGGGUCCCGCAUGGGUAUUUGUUAAAGAUUUAUCGGUAGUAGAUGGGCAUGCGUUCCAUUAGCUUGUUGGUGAGGUAACGGCUCACCAAGGCAACGAUGGAUAGGGGAACUGAGAGGUUGAUCCCCCACACUGGAACUGAGACACGGUCCAGACUCCUACGGGAGGCAGCAGUGAGGAAUAUUGGUCAAUGGACGAGAGUCUGAACCAGCCAAGUCGCGUGAAGGCGGUACGUUGACUUCUUUUGUAAGGGCGCCACCUUACGAAUAAGGAUCGGCAACUCCGUGCCAGCAGCCGCGGUAAUACGGAGGAUCCGAGCGUUAUCCGGAUUUAUUGGGUUUAAAGGGUGCGCAGGCGGCAUGUUAAGUCGGCGGUGAAAUUUUGCAGCUCAACUGUAAAAGAGCCUUCGAAACUGGCAAGCUUGAGUGUGGAUGAAGUAGGCGGAAUUUGUGGUGUAGCGGUGAAAUGCAUAGAUAUCACAAAGAACACCGAUUGCGCAGGCAGCUUACUAAACCUAACUGACGCUCAUGCACGAAGGCGUGGGGAUCAAACAGGAUUAGAUACCCUGGUAGUCCACGCAGUAAACGAUGAUUACUGGCUGUUUGCGAUACAUGUAAGCGGCUGAGCGAAAGCGUUAAGUAAUCCACCUGGGGAGUACGGUCGCAAGGCUGAAACUCAAAGAAAUUGACGGGGGCCCGCACAAGCGGUGGAGUAUGUGGUUUAAUUCGAUGCAACGCGAAGAACCUUACCUGGGCACAUCUGGGAAUCCUGCAGAGAGGAGUGCCCGGGCCCAGGAAGGUGCUGCAUGGCUGUCGUCAGCUCGUGCCGUGAGGUGUUGGGUUAAGUCCCGCAACGAGCGCAACCCUUGUUCCUAGUUGCCAUCAGGUGAAGCUGGGCACUCUAGGGAGACUGCCCGGGUCAACCGAGGAAGGUGGGGACGACGUCAAGUCAUCAUGGCCCUUACGCCCAGGGCUACACACGUACUACAAUGGCGAGUACAAAGGGCAGCGAUACCGUGAGGUGGAGCGAUCCCAAAAAACUCCGUAGUCCGGAUUGCAGUCUGCAACUCGACUGCAUGAAGUUGGAAUCGCUAGUAAUCGCGGAUCAGCAUGCCGCGGUGAAUACGUUCCCGGGCCUGUACACACCCCCGUC
rnacentral:rRNA from 1 species